rnacentral:rRNA from 1 species
AGGAAUUGGCGGGGGAGCACCACAAGGGGUGAAGCCUGCGGUUCAAUUGGAGUCAACGCCAGAAAUCUUACCCGGAGAGACAGCAGAAUGAAGGUCAAGCUGAAGACUUUACCAGACAAGCUGAGAGGUGGUGCAUGGCCGUCGCCAGCUCGUGCCGUGAGAUGUCCUGUUAAGUCAGGUAACGAGCGAGAUCCCUGCCUCUAGUUGCCACCAUUACUCUCAGGAGUAGUGGGGCGAAUUAGCGGGACCGCCGCAGUUAAUGCGGAGGAAGGAGGGGGCCACGGCAGGUCAGUAUGCCCCGAAACUCUGGGGCCACACGCGGGCUGCAAUGGUAGUGACAAUUGGUUCCGAAUCCGAAAGGAGGAGGUAAU